GGAUGUGAAAGCAAUCUGACUGAGAUAUCUGUCACUCCAUUGAUCGCCAGGGUUGAUUCAGCUGAUCUGGCUGGCAAGGCGGGUCUCCCCUUCCUCCCUCACUGCUCCAUGUGCAUCCCUCUUGAAUCUGAGCACAUGGUCGAAGAGGACCGCCUUCCCUGAAUAGAGAGGGACUGGUCUUCCAUGGAGGGUAUAUGAGUAGCUACACUACCCUCCUAGAACCUCCAAACAAGCUCUCAAAGUCCAAAGUCUUUUACUAGGAGUGUUAUUAAGAUGUUAUUGAUUUUUAUCUCCUAUCCCAGCUGAGAU
ensembl:misc_RNA 7SK 7SK RNA